AAUAUUAAUUUUAUUAAUGAUAUGACUCUGAACUAUAAUCUAAACAUUUUAGCUAAUAAUAUAGGAGUACACCAUAUUUAUUUAAUAGAGAAAUGUACCAUGUGACCCGAAUGCACUUUUACCCAAAUCCACCAAAAAAGUCUUGCAAAAAUACUAUAGAGAUAAGAAACGAUAGUCGGUUUUGAUAGGUAUAAGAUUAGCAAAUAUAUUAGUUAGCUUAAAUUAGUUAAAGAAUACAAAUUGAAAAGGUAUAUUACACUUUAUUCGAAUAUAGUAUCAAAACUUAUAUAACACAGAGAUUUGAUAAUUUUUUAAUUGUUGAAUACUUUUUUGUGCUAAUUUUUAUGUGAUUAAGAUUAAUUGAUUUUGUAUAUAAAAUAUUAAAUUGUUUUACGAACUUAUUUGUUUAUACUUUGGUAACAGAUAGAUAUUUGAGUAUUAAGUAUAUUUUGCUUAAGUUUAGGAAAUCUUUGAUGACCCGUCUUUAGAUCCAAUAAGUCCUAUAAUCUAGAUAUGAACAUGCAGUAUACCGCAUGUAGGCUUAUAUUUUAGUUAAACUAAAAACUUUUAUUGUAAAGAUGAUUUAAAAAUAUAUGAUAUUAUUUUAUUUGAUUUUAAAUGUAUAAUAAACUGUGAGUUGUAUAUGUUUUGUUGAUAUUAUCUAUAUUGUUUAGUGUUUAAGAUUAUACACUUGUAGUUUGAUUGUUAAUUUAAGGGUUUCACCUGUAGUAUACCAUCUUGUAUUAAUAUCGAUCUAAACCCGUCAAUUCUAAGAUUUUCCAGCUUGUAUUAAAAAUUGAAUCACAUCAUACACAUAAAAAAAUCUAAUAUAUU
rnacentral:sRNA from 1 species